AAUCAACGCUGGCGGCGCGCUUAACACAUGCAAGUCGCACGAGAAAGGGAGCAAUCCUGAGUAAAGUGGCGUACGGGUGAGUAACACGUGGAUCAUCUACCUUUUAGUGGGGAAUACCUCCGGGAAACUGGAGACAAUACCGCAUAAGCUCGAAAGAGGAAAGCAGCAAUGCGCUGAAAGAGGAGUCCGCGGCAGAUUAGCUAGAUGGCGGGGUAACGGCCCACCAUGGCGAAGAUCUGUAGCCGGCCUGAGAGGGCUCACGGCCACACUGGCACUGAAACACGGGCCAGACUCCUACGGGAGGCAGCAGUGGGGAAUCUUGUACAAUGGAGGAAACUCUGAUGCAGCGACGCCGCGUGAGUGAUGAAGCCCCUCGGGGUGUAAAACUCUUUCGACGGGAACGAUAAUGACGGUACCCGAAGAAGAAGCUGCGGCUAACUACGUGCCAGCAGCCGCGGUAAUACGUAGGCAGCAAGCGUUGUUCGGAAUUACUGGGCGUAAAGAGUGUGUAGGCGGUGCUCUAAGUUUGGUGUGAAAUCUCCCGGCUCAACUGGGAGGGUGCGCCGAAAACUGGAGUGCUAGAGGGUGGGAGAGGCAAGCGGAAUUCCUGGUGUAGCGGUGAAAAUGCGUAGAUAUCAGGAGGAAACACCUGUGGUGUAGACAGCUUGCUGGACCAUUUCUGACGCUGAGACACGAAAAGCGUGGGGUAGCAAAACAGGAUU
rnacentral:rRNA from 1 species